rnacentral:misc_RNA from 1 species
UUUCCGUAGGUGAACCUGCGGAAGGAUCAUUGUCGAAGCAUGCCCAGCAGAACGACCCGCGAACUUGUAUAACCAACCGGGGGCAGGGGCGAUCUCGCCCCGUGCCCUCGAACGGCAGGGAGACACUCGUGCCUUCUUGUCGAACAACGAACCCCGGCGCGGUCUGCGCCAAGGAACUUCCUUUAAAGAGGGCCUCCGGUCGCUUCGGAAACUAUGCGCGUGUCGUAGUCGUAUCUUGUACAAAACCGGAACGACUCUCGGCAACGGAUAUCUCGGCUCUC